AUACUAUGACGAGGGCAAGCUUCAGUCAACUCAUUUAAUCUUUCCCAAGCUUCAACAAUUGACUCCUCAUCCUUUUGACUGAAGAUCUAGAUGAGGUGUCUAUAGUGC
rfam:Lupinus angustifolius cultivar Tanjil chromosome LG11, whole genome shotgun sequence.